CAGGAUGAACGCUAGCGACAGGCUUAACACAUGCAAGUCGAGGGGUAACAGGGUAGCAAUACCGCUGACGACCGGCGCACGGGUGAGUAACGCGUAUGCAACCUGCCUAUAACUGGGGAAUAGCUCCCUGAAAGGGGAAUUAACACCGCAUAACACUAUUGAUUCGCAUGGAUUGGUAGUUAAAUGUAGCGAUACAGGUUAUAGAUGGGCAUGCGUGACAUUAGCUAGUUGGUGAGGUAACGGCUCACCAAGUCUUCGAUGGAUAGGGGUUCUGAGAGGAAGGUCCCCCACAUUGGUACUGAGACACGGACCAAACUCCUACGGGAGGCAGCAGUGAGGAAUAUUGGUCAAUGGGCGAGAGCCUGAACCAGCCAAGUAGCGUGAAGGAUAGAAGGUCCUAUGGAUUGUAAACUUCUUUUAUAGUAGAAUAAAGUGAUCCACGUGUGGAUUUUUGUAUGUAUACUAUGAAUAAGGAUCGGCUAACUCCGUGCCAGCAGCGGC
rnacentral:rRNA from 1 species